AUGAUGGUUUCCUGGAACCUAUUUACUCUUGAAACCAUUCAGGAAGAAUCCAGGCAAUUAAAAGGGAGCCUCAUUUUCAGUGUGACCUUGGAUCUAUUGCUUGACCUUCCAACACCGGAGGCAAUGCAAAUGAGUAUCAAAUUGUGUCAAAACAGGGUCUUACUGGAAAACAGAUGUUGUGUCCGAAUUUUUCUGCAUGUUGGGGAGCUGAAUUUGCAAAGGUAGCUCCAAGUCAACCUGUUAAUAAUGCUGACUUUUCCAAAUACCAGAGCUUGAAUGCAAAGGACUGACUCAGAUUUGCAAAAACAAAACAAAACAAAACAAAACCGCAAAACUCUUACGUACAGAAUGAAAACAAGACUAAGAACAACCACGAAAACGCCAAUGAAUGUAUUAACUAUCGUUAAAAGAAUAAAACAAACUUUUCCUGAAGUCUUCCUUUAAAU
rnacentral:lncRNA from 13 species